rnacentral:misc_RNA from 1 species
AGCAGCCGCGGUAAUUCCAGCUCCAAUAGCGUAUAUUAAAGUUGUUGCAGUUAAAAAGCUCGUAGUUGAAUUUCGGGAUUGACGUGAUGGUCGUGCCUUACGGGGUAUGAACUGUUGCAGUCAAUUUCUCACCUUCUGGAGAAAUAUGAUGUCCUUAAUUGGGUGUCAUAUGGAACCAGAACUUUUACCUUGAAAAAAUUAGAGUGUUUAAAGCAGGCUUAUUGCUCGAAUACAUUAGCAUGGAAUAAUAAAAUAGGACGGCAUGGUUCUAUUUUGUUGGUUUCUAGGAUCACCGUAAUGAUUAAUAGGGAUAGUUGGGGGCAUUAGUAUUCAAUUGUCAGAGGUGAAAUUCUUGGAUUUAUUGAAGACUAACUACUGCGAAAGCAUUUGCCAAGGAUGUUUUCAUUAAUCAAGAACGAAAGUUAGGGGAUCGAAGACGAUCAGAUACCGUCGUAGUCUUAACCAUAAACUAUGCCGACUAGGAAUCAGACGAUGUUAAUUUUUUUAAUGACUC